rnacentral:rRNA from 1 species
GACUGCGGAGGAUCAUUAUCGUAGGGCUUCGGCCCUGUCGAGAUAGAACCCUUGCCUUUUUGAGUACCUUUCGUUUCCUCGGCAGCCUCGGCUGCCAAUGGGGACCCCAAAAAACACUUUGCAGUACCUGUAACAGUCUGAACAAACAAACAAAAAUUAAAACUUUCAACAACGGAUCUCUUGGUUCUGGCAUCGAUGAAGAACGCAGCGAAAUGCGAUAAGUAGUGUGAAUUGCAGAAUUCAGUGAAUCAUCGAAUCUUUGAACGCACAUUGCGCCCUCUGGUAUUCCGGGGGGCAUGCCUGUUCGAGCGUCAUUACAACCCUCAAGCUUUGCUUGGUAUUGGACAUUGCCAGUUUCUGGCAGGUCUUAAAAUCAGUGGCGGUGCCAUUUGGCUUCAAGCGUAGUAAUUCUUCUCGCUUUGGAGAUCCAGGUGGUUACUUGCCAAUAACCCCCAAUUUUUUCAGGUUGACCUCGGAUCAGGUAGGGAUACCCGCUGAACUUAAGCAUAUCAAUAAGCGGAGGA